AUUGAACGCUGGCGGCAUGCCUUACACAUGCAAGUCGAACGGUAACAGGUCUUCGGAUGCUGACGAGUGGCGAACGGGUGAGUAAUACAUCGGAACGUGCCCGAUCGUGAGGGAUAACGAAGCGAAAGCUUUGCUAAUACCGCAUACGAUCUACGGAUGAAAGCAGGGGACCGCAAGGCCUUGCGCGAACGGAGCGGCCGAUGGCAGAUUAGGUAGUUGGUGGGAUAAAAGCUUACCAAGCCGACGAUCUGUAGCUGGUCUGAGAGGACGACCAGCCACACUGGGACUGAGACACGGCCCAGACUCCUACGGGAGGCAGCAGUGGGGAAUUUUGGCCAAUGGGCGAAAGCCUGAUCCAGCCAUGCCGCGUGCAGGAUGAAGGCCUUCGGGUUGUAAACUGCUUUUGUACGGAACGAAAAGACUCUGGUUAAUACCUGGGGUCCAUGACGGUACCGUAAGAAUAAGCACCGGCUAACUACGUGCCAGCCGCCGCGGUAA
rnacentral:rRNA from 1 species